rfam:Stegodyphus mimosarum contig83096, whole genome shotgun sequence.
UAAAAGGCCCUUUUCAGGGCCAAAUAAUUCGGAAUAUUCUGAGCAAU